rnacentral:rRNA from 1 species
UACGUAGGGUGCAAGCGUUGUCCGGAAUUAUUGGGCGUAAAGAGCUCGUAGGCGGUGUGUCACGUCGUUCGUGAAAAACCUGCAGCUUAACUGUGGGCGUGCGGUCGAUACGGGCAUCACUGGAGUUCGGCAGGGGAGACUGGAAUUCCUGGUGUAGCGGUGAAAAUGCGCAGAUAUCAGGAGGAACACCGGUGGCGAAGGCGGGGUCUCUGGGGCCGAUACUGACGCUGAGGAGCGAAAAGCGUGGGGGAGCAAACAGG